rnacentral:rRNA from 1 species
UACGUAGGGCGCAAGCGUUAUCCGGAAUUAUUGGGCGUAAAGAGCUCGUAGGCGGUUUGUCGCGUCUGCCGUGAAAGUCCAGGGCUCAACCCUGGGAUGCCGGUGGAUACUGUCGGGCUCGAGUCCGGAAGAGGAGUGUGGAAUUCCUGGUGUAGCGGUGAAAUGCGCAGAUAUCGUAAGGAAGACCAGUGGCGAAGGCGGGUCUCUGGACAGUUCCUGACGCUGAGGCACGAAGGCCAGGGGAGCAAACGGG